UGGGGAAUAUUGCACAAUGGGGGAAACCCUGAUGCAGCGACGCCGCGUGAGUGAAGAAGUACUUCGGUAUGUAAAGCUCUAUCAGCAGGGAAGAAAAUGACGGUACCUGAGUAAGAAGCCCCGGCUAACUACGUGCCAGCAGCCGCGGUAAUACGUAGGGGGCAAGCGUUAUCCGGAUUUACUGGGUGUAAAGGGAGCGCAGACGGUUGCGCAAGUCUGAAGUGAAAUCCCGAGGCUUAACCACGGGACUGCUUUGGAAACUGUGCGACUUGAGUAUCGGAGGGGCAGGCGGAAUUCCUAGUGUAGCGGUGAAAUGCGUAGAUAUUAGGAAGAACACCGGUGGCGAAGGCGGCCUGCUGGACGAAAACUGACGUUGAGGCUCGAAGGCGUGGGGAGCAAACA
rnacentral:rRNA from 1 species